rnacentral:rRNA from 1 species
UACGAAGGGGGCGAGCGUUGUUCGGAUUUACUGGGCGUAAAGGGCGCGUAGGCGGCCGAUCAAGUCAGGCGUGAAAGCCCCGGGCUCAACCUGGGAAUGGCGCUUGGGACUGGUUGGCUUGAGUUCGGGAGAGGAGAGUGGAAUUCCCAGUGUAGAGGUGAAAUUCGUAGAUAUUGGGAAGAACACCGGUGGCGAAGGCGGCUCUCUGGACCGAGACUGACGCAUGAGGCGGCGAAAAGCGUGGGGAGCAAACAGG